rnacentral:rRNA from 1 species
UACCCAGUGGCGAACGGCGUAGUAAUACAUGAGAAACGUGCCCUUAAGUCUGGGAUAUACAGAGGAAACUCUGAGCAAUACCAGAUGUGGCGGAGAGAUCGCAUGAUCUUUCCAUUAAAUGGUUUUUCGCUUAAGGAGCGUCUCAUGGCCUAUCAGGUAGUUGGUGAGGUAAUGGCUCACCAAGCCGACGACGGGUAGCGGGUCUGAGAGGAUGAUCCGCACGAGUGGGACUGAGACACGGCCCACACACCUACGGGUGGCAGCAGUUGGGAAUCUUGCACAAUGGGGGAAACCCUGAUGCAGCGACGCCGCGUGGACGAUGAAGGCCUUAGGGUUGUAAAGUCCUUUUUUGGGGAAAGACUUAGGACGGUACCCCAAGAAUAAGCUCCGGCUAACUACGUGCCAGCAGCCGCGGUAAGACGUAGGGAGCAAGCGUUGUCCGGAUUUACUGGGCGUAAAGAGCGCGUAGGCGGCUCGUUAAGUGUGAAGUGAAAUCUCCAGUGCU